AUUGAACGCUGGCGGCAGGCCUAACACAUGCAAGUCGAGCGGAUGAAGGGAGGUUGCUCCUGGAUUCAGCGGCGGACGGGGGAGUAAUGCCUAGGAAUCUGCCUGGUAGUGGGGGAUAACGUCCGGAAACGGGCGCUAAUACCGCAUACGUCCUGAGGGAGAAAGUGGGGGAUCUUCGGACCUCACGCUAUCAGAUGAGCCUAGGUCGGAUUAGCUAGUUGGUGGGGUAAAGGCCUACCAAGGCGACGAUCCGUAACUGGUCUGAGAGGAUGAUCAGUCACACUGGAACUGAGACACGGUCCAGACUCCGACGGGAGGAAGCAGUGGGGAAUAUUGGACAAUGGGCGAAAGCCUGAUCCAGCCAUGCCGCGUGUGUGAAGAAGGUCUUCGGAUGGUAAAGCACUUUAAGUUGGGAGGAAGGGCAGUAAGUUAAUACCUGGCUGUUUUGACGUUACCAACAGAAUAAGCACCGGCUAACUUCGUG
rnacentral:rRNA from 1 species